rnacentral:lncRNA from 1 species
AAAAAUACUUUCUUGACCAAGACAUUUUAAAAUACAACAACACUACGUGCAUUGGCAGAAGAGGUAGAAUAUUUACCCUUAAAAACCACAAAGACUAACCUAUACACAAUGUUUUUCUACCACAUUCUUUUAAAAAGACAACUAAGGCUUCCUGUUAACCACAAAACUAUACAGCCUUUUUCCUCACUGUCACUGGUUACUGUCUAAAAUAAAUAUCACUUCAUACAACAUGUAGACACGUUUUUUAUCCUUGUUCAUGGAUAAAUUUACACCAGUAAAUUAAUGCUGUCACUUACUCCUGACACAUAUCCCUUUCUCAUCUUUGAAGAAGUACCUAGUCACAACUGAAUCGUUUCAUCAAUGAAUGUAAAUAGUUACGUAACUUAAACCAUCUUGACAUAAUUAGUCAAUUUUUCUUCCAGUUACUAUGAUCACAACUUAUCUCCAGUCUUUCAAUGGGUCCAUGAAGUCUCUGGCUUAAAGACAUCUUGCAAGGAGACCUCUUUAUUCGUGUCCAUUCACACGGCAUGAUUUGCUCGCACAAUGUGUGAGUGAACUAUUUGCGAUUCAAUCAACACAAAUAAUUUGUUGUUGGGUGUUCAUGACACUGAACCGACCAACGGUAAUGAAAUCCUGUCAAAGAUUCUAUCUACAGACGGGAGGUUCAUCCUUUCAUUCCGCAGUGUUCAUAACCCUUCCCCCACCACAGGGGAAUGAAAUCCCAUCAAAGCUUCUCCACCUUAAUGGAAGGUUAAUACCCCUCCAUUGUCCCCUCCCUCUUAUAUUCCCCUCCAGAUCGCACUGAUAACGUAAACACAGAGAGAUGAGCCGACCACCUCUUCUCUACGCACAGGGAGUCCUCAACAUCAACACAGAUACAAUUACCUUGCAGUUAAUUGAAAUCACAGUGCAGAUUACGUGCUGUUAGCCCAGCCCCAACAAACACAGGUGGAUUGGCUGUUAUAAAUGAUCCCUAUCUCCAAGGACGGGUGACAAUAGAUAGGAAUCAACAUGGGGAAGGAUGAAUGAGAAACACGUCUUUUCAAACCUCUAUACCUUUCAUGUCCUCCACACCCCACAGCAGUUAAUACAGUGACAGUGGGUGGUUGCUGUGUAUGAGACAACAGUCAGCAUACAAUAACAAUGGCGAGAGGGAGGGAUUGUUUAACUCUAACCAGACAAUGUACUGAAUAACAAUACAUUAUAGCAUAGGGAGAGAGCACCUAUAAGAGAAUAACAUGUAUCCCUACCCCAAUGCUUGAAUAACCCUGCGUAAAAAGACCAACUAAGAACUCGUUUCUCACUGAGAAGGCCCUUGUCAAUCAACUUGUCAGUUUGUUUAGCCAAGCAGAAGAUUACAUUCUACAUUUGUAAAUAAGCCAUUUAAAGUCUGUGACAAGAUAGGGACAUUACAUCAUCACAAGAAUCAUUAGCACUUGUAGAUCCAGGAUUUUACUAAAGAAAAUGAGAGGACCAGGGCAUAUUUGGUCUUCAAGCUCUUUGACUAAGACAAAAUCGAUAUCCAGAUUUUAAUGGCAUGGCCCUACCAAAUCAUAAUGAAGAUGCCAGCACACUAAGAUCUAGUUGGGAAAAUGUUAAGUGUUAGUAUUAACAUUUAAAUUGAGAACUCCUUCUUGUGGGGCAUUUUAACUACUACAAUAGUACAAAGACACCAUUGCUCUACAAGCUAUCAAGUUGCCAAGGUUGGAGACAGGGACAUUAGUUAAUUACCGUCUCCUCUGAAUUAUCCCUCUCCUCCAAGAAUAAAACCUUUCAUGUCUUGGUCAAGUUUUACAGCUGGAUUUCCUCACAGUGGUGAUAGAGGUGUCAUUCCAUCUGUUACGUUUAAUAUGAA